ACUUAAAUUGAAGAGUUUGAUCAUGGCUCAGAUUGAACGCUGGCGGCAGGCCUAACACAUGCAAGUCGAGCGGUAGCACAGAGAGCUUGCUCUCGGGUGACGAGCGGCGGACGGGUGAGUAAUGUCUGGGAAACUGCCUGAUGGAGGGGGAUAACUACUGGAAACGGUAGCUAAUACCGCAUAAUGUCGCAAGACCAAAGUGGGGGACCUUCGGGCCUCAUGCCAUCAGAUGUGCCCAGAUGGGAUUAGCUAGUAGGUGGGGUAACGGCUCACCUAGGCGACGAUCCCUAGCUGGUCUGAGAGGAUGACCAGCCACACUGGAACUGAGACACGGUCCAGACUCCUACGGGAGGCAGCAGUGGGGAAUAUUGCACAAUGGGCGCAAGCCUGAUGCAGCCAUGCCGCGUGUGUGAAGAAGGCCUUCGGGUUGUAAAGCACUUUCAGCNGGGGAGGAAGGCGAUAAGGUUAAUAACCUUGUCGAUUGACGUUACCCGCAGAAGAAGCACCGGCUAACUCCGUGCCAGCAGCCGCGGUAAUACGGAGGGUGCAAGCGUUAAUCGGAAUUACUGGGCGUAAAGCGCACGCAGGCGGUCUGUCAAGUCGGAUGUGAAAUCCCCGGGCUUAACCUGGGAACUGCAUUCGAAACUGGCAGGCUAGAGUCUUGUAGAGGGGGGUAGAAUUCCAGGUGUAGCGGUGAAAUGCGUAGAGAUCUGGAGGAAUACCGGUGGCGAAGGCGGCCCCCUGGACAAAGACUGACGCUCAGGUGCGAAAGCGUGGGGAGCAAACAGGAUUAGAUACCCUGGUAGUCCACGCCGUAAACGAUGUCGAUUUGGAGGUUGUGCCCUUGAGGCGUGGCUUCCGGAGCUAACGCGUUAAAUCGACCGCCUGGGGAGUACGGCCGCAAGGUUAAAACUCAAAUGAAUUGACGGGGGCCCGCACAAGCGGUGGAGCAUGUGGUUUAAUUCGAUGCAACGCGAAGAACCUUACCUGGUCUUGACAUCCACAGAACUUUCCAGAGAUGGAUUGGUGCCUUCGGGAACUGUGAGACAGGUGCUGCAUGGCUGUCGUCAGCUCGUGUUGUGAAAUGUUGGGUUAAGUCCCGCAACGAGCGCAACCCUUAUCCUUUGUUGCCAGCGGUUAGGCCGGGAACUCAAAGGAGACUGCCAGUGAUAAACUGGAGGAAGGUGGGGAUGACGUCAAGUCAUCAUGGCCCUUACGACCAGGGCNUACACACGUGCUACAAUGGCAUAUACAAAGAGAAGCGACCUCGCGAGAGCAAGCGGACCUCAUAAAGUAUGUCGUAGUCCGGAUUGGAGUCUGCAACUCGACUCCAUGAAGUCGGAAUCGCUAGUAAUCGUAGAUCAGAAUGCUACGGUGAAUACGUUCCCGGGCCUUGUACACACCGCCCGUCACACCAUGGGAGUGGGUUGCAAAAGAAGUAGGUAGCUUAACCUUCGGGAGGGCGCUUACCACUUUGUGAUUCAUGACUGGGGUGAAGUCGUAACAAGGUAACCGUAGGGGAACCUGCGGUUGGAUCACCUCCUUACCUUAAAGAA
rnacentral:rRNA from 1 species